rnacentral:lncRNA from 1 species
GUUUAGAAUCAAUGUACUUCUUUGGCCUGAUGACAGUGCAUUGAAAUACGGACUGCAACAGAUAAAUGAGUAGGAGGGUCAAAGUUCCAGGCGCAAUGUUGUGACAAAGUGGUAUGUCCCAAUUGUACGCAUAUAGCAUGCAACAGUAGACUUACGUUCUUUGUCAGGGCAGCUGCAGUACGUGUUCUGACUCUCAAAAAUGUUUUGCAAACAUGCUGAGAAAAAAAAAGUAAAUUGACUCGAUCACAGAGCUGCAGUAGCCUAAAGUGCAAUGAAGGAGAGACCAGCACCAGGCAUGACUCAACAAGUCACAUGGAGAGUAAAGUCGUGACACGAGAGACCGUCAGAUUCCGUGUGGUACUGGAGCAGAAAUAAAAGUUUUCGGAUGUCACUGGAGUUCUCUUUCAGAGAUAGAAAGGGGUCAUCAAGCAGACGUCGGCAGUCGGGCUGAGAGAGAUCAAAGAGGCCAUCAACAUCAGAUGCCACAGGCGGGGUUAUGAUCUGCCUUCAUAUAUGACCACAUAAAUCUCCAUGACAACUGAGAGCUGUGGCAGAAGGCUACAGAGAUAGUUAAGAUGACUUUUAUACGACGCUUUGAAAUGAACAGUUUGUUACUGAAUGAUGACAAAAUAGAAAUAGAUUAUUUUAUUAGGUGAUGUUUGUGUAUCAUUCGACUUCUACAAUGAAGUAUUUGUGAAACUUAAAAUGUACAUGUGUAGUGGUAGUUAAAAUGGUGUUGUAUUAGCAAAACAGUCUAUUUA